rnacentral:rRNA from 1 species
UUCCGGUUGAUCCUGCCGGAGGACAUUGCUAUUGGGAUUCGAUUUAGCCAUGCUAGUCGAACGAGUUCAGACUCGUGGCGAAUAGCUCAGUAACACGUGGCCAAGCUCCCCUUCAGUCAGCGAUACCCUCGGGAAACUGAGGUUAACAGCUGAUACAAAACGCCAGCUGGAAUGCGGCGUUUCAGAAAGACAUCGCUGAAGGAUGCGGCUGCGGCCGAUUAGGUAGACGGUGGGGUAACGGCCCACCGUGCCAGUAAUCGGUACGGGUGAUGAGAGUCAGAGCCCGGAGACGGAAUCUGAGACAAGAUUCCGGGCCCUACGGGGCGCAGCAGGCGCGAAACCUUUACACUGCACGAAAGUGCGAUAGGGGAAUCCCAAGUGCGAGGGCAUAUUAGCCCUCGCUUUUCUCGACUCUAAGGUGGUCGAGGAAUAAGAGCUGGGCAAGACCGGUGCCAGCCGCCGCGGUAAUACCGGCAGCUCAAGUGAUGUCCCAUAUUAUUGGGCCUAAAGCGUCCGUAGCUGGCCGCGCAAGUCCGUCGGGAAAUCCACCUGCCCAACAGGUGGGCGUCCGGCGGAAACUGUGUGGCUUGGAACCGGAAGGCUCAGAGAGUACGUCCGGGGUAGGAGUGAAAUCCCGUAAUCCCGGACGGACUACCGAUGGCGAAAGCACUCUGAGAAGACGGCUUCGACAGUGAGGGACGAAAGCUCGGGUCUCAAACCGGAUUAGAUACCCGGGUAGUC